ACACAGAUCUGGAUAGAUAUAGAUCUGAGCAGAGUCCCUGCCCUCAUGGAGUUUGCAAUUUCAGAGGUGACCAGUUGACCACCAAAAAUUCAUGCUCCCCCUCCCCAGCGUGGAAGGUGACUGCCCAGUUAAGGGCUACAUCCAGAUGAAUCAACAGAGGCCUAUGUGUGAUACUGAAAACCCCACCAGGUGGAAGAAGAUAACUACGUGAUGACCAGGCUGUAGCCAUGACAUAAGCUGCCACAAUUCCGAGAAUUGGCCUCAAAGAAAUGGAAACAAACCAACCCUUGAGCUGAAGACUAACUGUACCUAAAACAAUCAAGAUGACACUGGUCAGACCACAGAUGGCCAAUUUCAAGAUGACUGUCAGAGCUGACUGUAAUGUUUCUGCAUGUAACCCCCUCCUUCUGUCUGUAAAAGUUCUUGCCCCCUGAUUGUUGGAGGGGAGUCAGCCUUUGGACAGGGGUCCACCCUCCCCCUGGGUUACCA